rnacentral:rRNA from 1 species
UAAUACGGAGGGUGCAAGCGUUAUCCGGAUUCACUGGGUUUAAAGGGUGCGCAGGCGGGCUAUUAAGUCCGUGGUGAAAUCCCGGGGCUCAACCCCGGAACUGCCAUGGAUACUAUUAGUCUUGAAUGUUGUUGAGGUGGGCGGAAUAGGUCAUGUAGCGGUGAAAUGCAUAGAUAUGACCUAGAACACCGAUUGCGAAGGCAGCUCACUGGACAAAUAUUGACGCUCAGGCACGAAAGCGUGGGGAUCAAACAGGAUUAGAUACCCUGGUAGUCCACGCCCUAAACGAUGAUUACUGGACGUUGGCGAUAUGACCGAUCAGCGUCUAUAUAAGCGAAAGCAUUAAGUAAUCCACCUGGGAAGUACGUUCGCAAGAAUG